rnacentral:rRNA from 1 species
UGCAGUCGACGGCAGCACAGUAAGAGCUUGCUCUUAUGGGUGGCGAGUGGCGGACGGGUGAGGAAUACAUCGGAAUCUACCUUUUCGUGGGGGAUAACGUAGGGAAACUUACGCUAAUACCGCAUACGACCUUCGGGUGAAAGCAGGGGACCUUCGGGCCUUGCGCGGAUAGAUGAGCCGAUGUCGGAUUAGCUAGUUGGCGGGGUAAAGGCCCACCAAGGCGACGAUCCGUAGCUGGUCUGAGAGGAUGAUCAGCCACACUGGAACUGAGACACGGUCCAGACUCCUACGGGAGGCAGCAGUGGGGAAUAUUGGACAAUGGGCGCAAGCCUGAUCCAGCCAUACCGCGUGGGUGAAGAAGGCCUUCGGGUUGUAAAGCCCUUUUGUUGGGAAAGAAAAGCAGUCGAUUAAUACUCGGUUGUUCUGACGGUACCCAAAGAAUAAGCACCGGCUAACUUCGUGCCAGCAGCCGCGGUAAUACGAAGGGUGCAAGCGUUACUCGGAAUUACUGGGCGUAAAGCGUGCGUAGGUGGUUGUUUAAGUCUGUUGUGAAAGCCCUGGGCUCAACCUGGGAAUUGCAGUGGAUACUGGGCGACUAGAGUGUGGUAGAGGGUAGUGGAAUUCCCGGUGUAGCAGUGAAAUGCGUAGAGAUCGGGAGGAACAUCCAUGGCGAAGGCAGCUACCUGGACCAACACUGACACUGAGGCACGAAAGCGU